UACGUAGGGUGCGAGCGUUAAUCGGAAUUACUGGGCGUAGAGCGUGCGCAGGCGGUUCGUUGUGUCGGCGGUGAAAGCCCCGGGCUCAACCUGGGAAUGGCCGUUGAAACUGGCGAACUGGAGUGUGGCAGAGGGGGGUGGAAUUCCGCGUGUAGCAGUGAAAUGCGUAGAGAUGUGGAGGAACACCGAUGGCGAAGGCAGCCCCCUGGGUCAAGAUUGACGCUCAUGCACGAAAGCGUGGGGAGCAAACAGG
rnacentral:rRNA from 1 species